rnacentral:lncRNA from 1 species
UUUCCAUAUAAUCAUUCAGCAUGUGUAGAACAUCGUCCAUUCAAAAUUACAGUUCACCUUAGGUUUUUCCUGACUCAAACCUUUUUCAAUGUUGACCAAAAUUUUAGAUAAAUAUCUUCAAGCAAGCCACGACACAGAACCAAUGCAUGAUACUAAACUACCGGAGGCCCCUUCAACCUCACUAACCAAACUAUUGUACCAACUAGUACAAGCACACUAUCUGGAUCCCAUUUCUAUGGUCUUAUUCUAUUUUGUUGUACAAAUCAUUCAACCAUGUGUAGGGGUUCAAUAAAAUCCACCAC